UGGGGAAUAUUGGACAAUGGGCGAAAGCCUGAUCCAGCCAUGCCGCGUGUGUGAAGAAGGUCUUCGGAUUGUAAAGCACUUUAAGUUGGGAGGAAGGGCAGUAAGCGAAUACCUUGCUGUUUUGACGUUACCGACAGAAUAAGCACCGGCUAACUCUGUGCCAGCAGCCGCGGUAAUACAGAGGGUGCAAGCGUUAAUCGGAAUUACUGGGCGUAAAGCGCGCGUAGGUGGUUCGUUAAGUUGAAUGUAAAAGCCCCGGGCUCAACCUGGGAACUGCAUCCAAAACUGGCGAGCUAGAGUAGGGCAGAGGGUGGUGGAAUUUCCUGUGUAGCGGUGAAAUGCGUAGAUAUAGGAAGGAACACCAGUGGCGAAGGCGACCACCUGGGCUCAUACUGACACUGAGGUGCGAAAGCGUGGGGAGCAAACAGG
rnacentral:rRNA from 1 species